UUUCCCAGGUAUGUUUUCUGUUAAGACCUUUGUGUAUGUCUAAUUGCGCCUUUUCUUUUUUUCUAGCAGGGCGCGACGCAGAUUGAGGAUUUUCCAGGUAUGUUUUCUGUUAAGACCUUUGUGUAUGUCUAAUUGCGCCUUUUCUUUUUUUCUAGCAGGGCGCGACGCAGAUUGAGGAUUCCCAGGUAUGUUUUCUGUUAAGACCUUUGUGUAUGUCUAAUGGUUCCUUUUUUUUUCCUUUAGGUCGUGUGGACUUUUUUUUUUUUUUGCAGGGCGCGACGCAGAUUGAGGAUUCCCAGGUAUGUUUUCUGUUAAGACCUUUGUGUAUGUCUAAUUGCGCCUUUUCUUUUUUUCUAGCAGGGCGCGACGCAGAUUGAGGAUUCCCAGGUAUGUUUUCUGUUAAGACCUUUGUGUAUGUCUAAUGUUGUCUUUUCUUUUAUUCUGGCAGGGCGCGACGCAGAUUGGAGAUUUGCCAGGUAUGUUUUCUGUUAAGGCCUUUGUGUAUGUCUAAUGGUUCCUUUUUUUUCCUUUAGGUCGUGGCCUAGCAGCGCGACGCAGAUUGAAGAUUCAGGUAUGUUUUCUGUUAAGGCCUUUGUGUAUGUCUAAUGUCGCCUUUUCUUUUUUUCUAGCAGGGCGCGACGCAGAUUGAGGAUUCUCAGGUAUGUUUUCUGUUAAGACCUUUGUGUAUGUCUAAUUUCGCCUUUUCUUUUUUUCUAGCAGGGCGCGACGCAGAUUGAGGAUUCCCAGGUAUGUUUUCUGUUAAGACCUUUGUGUAUGUCUAAUUUCGCCUUUUCUUUUUUUCUAGCAGGGCGCGACGCAGAUUGAGGAUUCCCAGGUAUGUUUUCUGUUAAGACCUUUGUGUAUGUCUAAUUGCGCCUUUUCUUUUUUUCUAGCAGGGCGCGACGCAGAUUGAGGAUUCCCAGGUAUGUUUUCUGUUAAGACCUUUGUGUAUGUCUAAUUGCGCCUUUUCUUUUUUUCUAGCAGGGCGCGACGCAGAUUGAGGAUUCCCAGGUAUGUUUUCUGUUAAGACCUUUGUGUAUGUCUAAUUGCGCCUUUUCUUUUUUUCUAGCAGGGCGCGACGCAGAUUGAGGAUUCCCAGGUAUGUUUUCUGUUAAGACCUUUGUGUAUGUCUAAUUGCGCCUUUUUUUUUUUCUAGCAGGGCGCGACGCAGAUUGAGGAUUCCCAGGUAUGUUUUCUGUUAAGACCUUUGUGUAUGUCUAAUUGCGCCUUUUUCUUUUUUCUAGCAGGGCGCGACGCAGAUUGAAGAUUCGAAGGUAUGUUUUCUGUUAAAGCCUUUGUGUAUGUCUAAUGUCGCCUUUUCUUUUUUUCUAGCAGGGGGCGACGCAGAUUGAGGAUUUUCAGGUAUGUUUUCUGUUAAGACCUUUGUGUAUGUCUAAUUUCGCCUUUUCUUUUUUUCUAGCAGGGUGCGACGCAGAUUGAGGAUUCCCAGGUAUGUUUUCCGUUAAGACCUUUGUGUAUGUCUAAUUUCGCCUUUUCUUUUUUUCUAGCAGGGCGCGACGCAGAUUGAGGAUUCCCAGGUAUGUUUUCUGUUAAGACCUUUGUGUAUGUCUAAUGUCACCUUUUCUUUUUUUUUCCAGCAGGACGCGACGCAGAUUGAGGAUUCUCAGGUAUGUUUUCUGUUAAGACCUUUGUGUAUGUCUAAUUUCGCCUUUUCUUUUUUUCUAGCAGGGCGCGACGCAGAUUGAGGAUUCUCAGGUAUGUUUUCUGUUAAGACCUUUGUGUAUGUCUAAUUGCGCCUUUUCUUUUUUUCUAGCAGGGCGCGACGCAGAUUGAGGAUUCCCAGGUAUGUUUUCUGUUAAGACCUUUGUGUAUGUCUAAUUUCGCCUUUUCUUUUUUUUCAAGCAGGGCGCGACGCAGAUUGAGAUUUGAAGGUAUGUUUUCUGUUAAGGCCUUUGUGUAUGUCUAAUGUUGCCUUUUCUUUUUUUCUAGCAGGGCGCGACGCAGAUUGAGUAUUUUCAGGUAUGUUUUCUGUUAAGACCUUUGUGUAUGUCUAAUUGUUGCUUUUCUUUUUUUUCUAGCAGGGCGCGACGCAGAUUGAGGAUUCCAGGUAUGUUUUCUGUUAAGACCUUUGUGUAUGUCUAAUGUUGCUUUUUCUUUUUUUUCUAGCAGGGCGCGACGCAGAGAUUGAGGAUUUUCCAGGUAUGUUUUCUGUUAAGACCUUUGUGUAUGUCUAAUGUUGCCUUUUUCUUUUUUUCUAGCAGGUCGCGACGCAGAUUGAGGAAUUCCAGGUAUGUUUUCUGUUAAGACCUUUGUGUAUGUCUAAAGUUGCCUUUUCUUUUUUUCUAGCAGGUUGCGACGCAGAUUGAGGAAUUCCAGGUAUGUUUUCUGUUAAGACCUUUGUGUAUGUCUAAUGUUGUCUUUUCUUUUUUACUGGCAGGGCGCGACGCAGAUUGAGGAUUCCAGGUAUGUUUUCUGUUAAGACCUUUGUGUAUGUCUAAUGUUGCUUUUCUUUUUUUCUAGCAGGGCGUGACGCAGAUUGAGGAUUUUCAGGUAUGUUUUCUGUUAAGACCUUUGUGUAUGUCUAAUGUUGCCUUUUCUUUUUUUCUAGCAGGGCGCGACACAGAUUGAGGAUUCAGGUAUGUUUUCUGUUAAGACCUUUGUGUAUGUCUAAUGGUUUUUUUUUCCUUUAGGUCGUGUGCCUUUUUUUUUUUUGCAGGGCGCGACGCAGAUUGAGGAUUCGCAGGUAUGUUUUCUGUUAAGACCUUUGUGUAUGUCUAAUGUUGUCUUUUCUUUUUUUCUAGCAGGGCGCGUCGCAGAUUGAGGAUUUUCAGGUAUGUUUUCUGUUAAGACCUUUGUGUAUGUCUAAUGUUGUCCUUUUCUUUUUUUCUAGCAGGGCGCGACGCAGAUUGAGGAUUCCCAGGUAUGUUUUCUGUUAAGACCUUUGUGUAUGUCUAAUGUUGUCUUUUCUUUUUUUUCUGGCAGGGCGCAUCGCAGAUUGGAGAUUUUCAGGUAUGUUUUCUGUUAAGACCUUUGUGUAUGUCUAAUUUCGCCUUUUCUUUUUUUCUAGUAGGGUGCGACGCAGAUUGAGGAUUCCCAGGUAUGUUUUCUGUUAAGACCUUUGUGUAUGUCUAAGGUUGUCUUUUCUUUUUUUCUGGCAGGGCGAGACGCAGAUUGGAGAUUUUCAGGUAUGUUUUCUGUUAAGACCUUUGUGUAUGUCUAAUAUCGCCUUUUCUUUUUUUUUCUGGCAGGGCAUGACGCAGAUUGAGGAUUUUCAGGUAUGUUUUCUGUUAAGACCUUUGUGUAUGUCUAAUGUUGUCUUUUCUUUUUUCUAGCAGGGCGCGACGCAGAUUGAGGAUUUUCCAGGUAUGUUUUCUGUUAAGACCUUUGUGUAUGUCUAAUGUCGCCUUUUCUUUUUUUCUAGCAGGGCGCGACGCAGAUUGAGGAUUCCCAGGUAUGUUUUCUGUUAAGACCUUUGUGUAUGUCUAAUUGCGCCUUUUCUUUUUUUUCUAGCAGGGCGCGACGCAGAUUGAGGAUUCCCAGGUAUGUUUUCUGUUAAGACCUUUGUGUAUGUCUAAUGUUGUCUUUUCUUUUAUUCUGGCAGGGCGCGACGCAGAUUGGAGAUUUGCAGGUAUGUUUUCUGUUAAGGCCUUUGUGUAUGUCAAAUGGUUCCUUUUUUUUCCUUUAGGUCAUGUGGCCUAUGGGACAUUUGCAGGUAUGUUUUCUGUUAAGGCCUUUGUGUAUGUCUAAUUGCGUUCCUUUUCUUUUUUUCUUUAGCAGGGCCUUCUUUUUUUUGUGCGGGACGACGCAGAUUGAGGAUUCCCAGGUAUGUUUUCUGUUAAGACCUUUGUGUAUGUCUAAUGUUGCUUUUUUCUUUUUUUCUAGCAGGGCGCGACGCAGAUUGAGGAUUUUCCAGGUAUGUUUUCUGUUAAGACCUUUGUGUAUGUCUAAUGUUGUCUUUUUCUUUUUUUCUAGCAGGGCGCAUCGCAGAUUGAGGAUUUUCCAGGUAUGUUUUCUGUUAAGACCUUUGUGUAUGUCUAAUUGCGUUCCUUUUUUUUUUUUCUUUAGGUCGUGUGGCUUUUUUUUUUUUUGCAGGGCGCGACGCAGAUUGAGGAUUCCCAGGUAUGUUUUCUGUUAAGACCUUUGUGUAUGUCUAAUUUGUCUUUUCUUUUUUUCUAGCAGGGCGCGACGACGCAGAUUGAGGAUUCCAGGUAUGUUUUCUGUUAAGACCUUUGUGUAUGUCUAAUUUCGCCUUUUCUUUUUUUCUAGCAGGGCGCGACGCAGAUUGAUGAUUUUCAGGUAUGUUUUCUGUUAAGACCUUUGUGUAUGUCUAAUGUUGUCUUUU
rnacentral:lncRNA from 1 species